GAUGAACGCUGGCGGCGUGCUUAACACAUGCAAGUCGAACGAUGAAGCCCAGCUUGCUGGGUGGAUUAGUGGCGAACGGGUGAGUAACACGUGAGUAACCUGCCCUUGACUCUGGGAUAAGCCUGGGAAACUGGGUCUAAUACUGGAUAUGACUUCUCAUCGCAUGGUGGGGGGUGGAAAGAUUUAUUGGUCUUGGAUGGACUCGCGGCCUAUCAGCUUGUUGGUGAGGUAAUGGCUCACCAAGGCGACGACGGGUAGCCGGCCUGAGAGGGUGACCGGCCACACUGGGACUGAGACACGGCCCAGACUCCUACGGGAGGCAGCAGUGGGGAAUAUUGCACAAUGGGCGCAAGCCUGAUGCAGCGACGCCGCGUGAGGGAUGACGGCCUUCGGGUUGUAAACCUCCUUCAGUAGGGAAGAAGCGAGAGUGACGGUACCUGCAGAAGAAGCGCCGGCUAACUACGUG
rnacentral:rRNA from 1 species